rnacentral:rRNA from 1 species
GAGCCCAAGAUUGAAAGCUGGCGUCUUCGGCGUCCGCAUUGUAAUCUCAAGAAGUGUUUUCCGCUUCGGACCAUGCCUAAGUCCCUUGGAAAAGGGCAUCAUAGAGGGUGAUAAUCCCGUACAUGGCAUGGAGCGCCCGAAGCUUUGUGAUACGCUUUCUAAGAGUCGAGUUGUUUGGGAAUGCAGCUCAAAAUGGGUGGUAAAUGCCAUCUAAGGCUAAAUAUUGGGGAGAGACCGAUAGCGAACAAGUACAGUGAUGGAAAGAUGAAAAGAACUUUGAAAAGAGAGUGAAAAAGUACGUGAAAUUGUUGAAAGGGAAGGGUUUGAGAUCAGACUCGAUAUUUUGUGAGCCUUGCCUUCGUGGCGGGGUGACCCGCAGCUUAUCGGGCCAGCAUCGGUUUGGGCGGUAGGAUAAUGGCGUAGGAAUGUGACUUUACUUCGGUGAAGUGUUAUAGCCUGCGUUGAUGCUGCCUGCCUAGACCGAGGACUGCGAUUUUAUCAAGGAUGCUGGCAUAAUGAUCCCAAACCGCCCGUCUUG